UAUUCGAGUAGAGGCGCAUUCAUUAAGAGUAUAUUUCAGGAACUUGAAAAGAAGUUGGGACUGAAGUAAAAAGGGAUGAGUGCCGAAAUGGACAGUUACUUUUCUGACUGUCUGUUGGGACUUAAUUUAACAAAUUAAGGACUGUCGUGGUUUGACCGCCACGGGGAGCUAUCAAGAUG
rfam:Lactobacillus brevis subsp. gravesensis ATCC 27305 genomic scaffold SCAFFOLD3, whole genome shotgun sequence.